UACGAAGGGGGCUAGCGUUGUUCGGAUUUACUGGGCGUAAAGCGCACGUAGGCGGAUUGUUAAGUCAGGGGUGAAAUCCUGGAGCUCAACUCCAGAACUGCCUUUGAUACUGGCAAUCUAGAGUCCGGAAGAGGUGAGUGGAACUCCUAGUGUAGAGGUGGAAUUCGUAGAUAUUAGGAAGAAUACCAGUGGCGAAGGCGGCUCACUGGUCCGGUACUGACGCUGAGGUGCGAAAGCGUGGGGAGCAAACAGG
rnacentral:rRNA from 1 species